rnacentral:rRNA from 1 species
CCUACGGGGGGCAGCAGUAGGGAAUAUUGCUCAAUGGGGGAAACCCUGAAGCAGCAACGCCGCGUGAAGGAAGAAGGCUUUCGGGUUGUAAACUUCUUUUGACAGGGAAGAGCAGAAGACGGUACCUGUCGAAUAAGCCACGGCUAACUACGUGCCAGUAGCCGCGGUAAUACGUAGGUGGCAAGCGUUGUCCGGAUUUACUGGGUGUAAAGGGCGUGUAGCCGGGCUGACAAGUCAGAUGUGAAAUCCGGGGGUUCAACCCCCGAACUGCAUUUGAAACUGUUGGUCUUGAGUAUCGGAGAGGC